rnacentral:rRNA from 1 species
AUUGAACGCUGGCGGCAUGCUUUACACAUGCAAGUCGAACGGUAACAGGGUGCUUGCACCGCUGACGAGUGGCGAACGGGUGAGUAAUGCGUCGGAACGCACCGAGUAAUGGGGGGUAACGCAGCGAAAGCUGUGCUAAUACCGCAUACGCUCUGAGGAGGAAAGCGGGGGACCUUCGGGCCUCGCGUUAUUCGAGCGGCCGACGUCUGAUUAGCUAGUAGGUGAGGUAAGAGCUCACCUAGGCGACGAUCAGUAGCGGGUCUGAGAGGAUGAUCCGCCACACUGGGACUGAGACACGGCCAGACUCCUACGGGAGGCAGCAGUGGGGAAUUUUGGACAAUGGGCGCAAGCCUGAUCCAGCCAUGCCGCGUGUCUGAAGAAGGCCUUCGGGUUGUAAAGGACUUUUGUCAGGGAGGAAAUCCUUAGCGCUAAUACCGUUGAGGGAUGACAGUACCUGAAGAAUAAGCACCGGCUAACUACGUGCCAGCCGCCGCCGUAA